CAGGCCUGGUAGCUGGGCCAGGUUGGAGGAGGUCUGUGGCCCAGCUGAGGCGCUGGGGGGUGACCACGUGUGUCCCCACCUCCCGUCCCUUCCUUGCAUCCUGGCCGCCUGAGGACUAGAUGAAGAUUUCAGGAUGGGGGAGGGGAAAGGGGAGGGGGGAGGGAGUACGGACUCGCAGCCCCGCCCGCGAGGAAGCGCUGGUUCUAAGACAGGCAUAAAGUACUUUCUCGAAGAACGCGCUGUGCGAGUGGAAAGGAGCAAACCGGCGCUCCCACGCGGCCGCCCGCGCCCCGGGGGCUGCUGGCAGCGAAAGGGGCUGACGCCGCGCCGAGGCCGAGCCCGGCUGGGGAAGGCGGUCCCGCACGGCUCUGCACGCUCUUCAUCAGUGUGGCUGCUUAUUACUGUUUACGUCGUGCUGGUUCCAAGGAGUCUCUGUAAACAUUAGCUUAAGCUUUGCUUGUGUGCCCCGCCACCCCCCCCUCCCUUAACACACACAAACAUGCCAAGAGGCUCCUUUAAAAACAGACUGAGAAAAUCCGGUCUGGAAGAGCACGCGGCUGACAGCUUAGGUGGAUUGUAUAAAAGCAGAUUCUGGUGAAACAGGUUGAACCCAGGCUAGCUCUGCAGGGGAAGGGUGAGUGGGGACGGUGUCCAGGUUGGAGGCGUUCGUGGGCAGGGGCUUCUCCUGGACCGCCGUGCUGGUUGCCCCUGACCCUUCCAACUUCUCUGCAUGAGUCUGAAACCUUCCUGGUUUCAGCUGCAAAUUAGGCCAGGCUGUUUCCAGGUCUUUGGAUGACGUGUAAGCCCAGCUGCUGGGCAGCCCCCAGCCCUGUCUUGGGGAACUUGCCCACCUUCUGGGCCCCAGCUGAGUUGGCCAAGGAUGAGGGGGCUGCUGACCCAAGAGGGAUCCCUACGGUAGCCUGCAAAAGGCCUGGCACAGAGAGCCUUGACAGUGAGGGGAGCCCUGGGCCCAUCAGCUUCCUGGUUUCUGGAAUCCAUCGGGCAGGAGCUAAAGGCAUCAUGGGCUGGUGGUCCCAGGCCCAUCAGAGUGCUGUGAGUGGGGCCAUGGGACGAGCAGAGAAGGAUGUGGGGUGCACGGUAAGGAAGCCAGCACUGCGGACAGCGAUAGGGAGACAGGGCAGAGGUGGCCUGACCUGUGGCAGACACCCCCCAAGUCCAGUUCCAGUGAAGCCAAGGCCCAGCCCAGCACAGGUCCUGGCCUUGGACUUUCAGAAGAUCCUACUGACAUAGAACCUCUAUGACAAUAAACUCCAACCGCUGACUUGAGGGGCCUGAGAGAGCCUCCACCCCCUGGGGAAAGAAAAUAAGUAAAACCCAUGUACCUAAAUCAGCCUCUUCCAAGUAGGUUGUUUAAAUGCAGAAUGGAACGGGGUCAGUCAAGAUCAGAGCCCCAGCACCUGGCCACUCCUGUGCGAGCGUAUUCACCGGCCAAGCGGAUCUCAGCUCCUGCAGCUCUUACCCUCACACACCUACCAGCACCCCCUGAGUGGUUUUUCUUAACUCUCAGGUGAAAUCCAAUUCUAUUCCAAGCCUUGAAAGAUUCAAGCGCCUACUGUGUGCAGGGCACUGGGCGGGGCCUAUGAGGGCUGCACGGGUGAUGGAGCUACGGUGCUAUCCUUCCAUCGGGAGAAGCGCAGGAAGGAGGCUGCAGGGGACGCAGGCAGCCAGGGGUUCCUGAAGGCUGUGUUCGCGAUCGUUAUCGCUGACAGUUCUCUAUCUCUGGAAGCAGACUGAAUAACAGCCCUGUGGCGCAGAGUGGAAAGGGGGACAGGGGAAGAGCAACAUUACAGUAGAAAAACUUGACAGAGGCUUCCUUGGCCAAACAACCAAGGUCCACGUCAACAGGGAUAAAUCAUGUUGAGAGUGUGGACCUUUGGAUGUAAUGAAAAUGGAAUUUACCUCUACGGCCUUCUUCCCCAAACCCAUCCUCCCUAUCUAAUCAUGAGGAAAACAUCAGGCAGAUUCUGAUAGGAGAGCAUCCUACAGAAUGCCUGAUGAAUCCCUCAAAACUCUCAAGGUCAUCAACAACAAGGAAAGCCUGAGAAACUGUCAGACCCAAGAGGAGCCUGAGGAGACGCGACAACUCAAUGCAAUGUGGGAUCCUGGAUGGGAUUUUUCAUUUUUUUUUAAGCUCACAGGAAACAACAUGACCAGGCCCACCUGUGAAUGACUGCAGGAAGGAAGAAAUGAACACAUCCCCUCUGAGGGCUGACCAGAACCAAGAGAUGUUUGACUUUCUUCCCUCCCCUUUUAGUAUAAAAGAAGCCUGAGUUCUAACUCAGGGGAGAUGGUUCUUUGGGACAUAAGUCCACCGUCUUCUUGGUUCCUAGCCUUCUGAAUAAAGUCACUAUUCCUUGCC